rnacentral:lncRNA from 1 species
UCAAAGAUAAGGUACUUCAGUUUAGUAUGAUCAUUCGUAGUACAUCUGUGUGUACACCAACAUGAAUAAACUUUGUUGUAGGCAUACUUUCCUUUUCAUGUGGAAGAAAAUCAUUGGAUAACAGUUCUUAUGCACAACAAGAAAAAAGAGUUUCAAGUUUUAAACUCUACUGGUAAAUGCAGCAAAAGAGUUCUUGCAAAGAUUGCUAAGCUGGUAAGCUUGCAACGUUACAUAAAACAAUAUAUAGUUAUUCGAAACGUACUUCAUAUGAAUUUGUCAUUUUUAUUUCAGAGGGCAGAAAUAGCAAAUGAUACAAAGGAGGUGAAUGCUCUUAUUGAAACGGAACAUCCUGACGUAUCAUCCUGGCCAAUAAGGG